ACCCCUGCCUGGUAGAAGAAUUUGCAAAUCGAGGAAACAACAUCCCUGCGAGAUCUUCUAGACCAGCCGUUCUUCACUUUUAACUCUCUCCGAGAAGGUGGCAGCUGACUGUUGUUAAGGAAAACAGAAUCCAGUCGCGACUUCUUUUGAAAUGCUUCGGAACCACCAACUGGAGAAGAAGAACUAUUCCGCAACGCCAUUUUCCAGUCUUUCCUGGGACGCUUCUCCCCAACUGUAGACCUAUCCUUGCUGGAACGAAAGACGUCAUCUUGUUCUUGUUCCUGUUCUUGAUCAUCUUCUUGUUCUUCAUCGGUUUGCUUGCAGAACUCAGAUAUCUCAUUGGAGUCGAGCGGUCUCUGUCUCCUGCCAGUGCGGUG
rnacentral:lncRNA from 1 species